GGGCUCACACAAGCGGUGGAUGAUGUGGCUUAAUUCGAGGCUACGCGAAGAACCUUAUCCUAGUCUUGACAUGCUUGGAUUAACCCUAUGAAAGUAGGGCCACGCCCGCAAGGGUGGAACAAGCACAGGUGCUGCAUGGCUGUCGUCAGCUCGUGUCGUGAGAUGUCGGGUUAAGUCCCUUAACGAGCGAAACCCUUGUCGCUAGUUGCCAGCGAGUAAAGUCGGGGACUCUAGCGAGACCGCCGGCGUUAAGCCGGAGGAAGGUGGGGAUGACGUCAAGUCCUCAUGGCCUUUAUGACUAGGGCUGCACACGUCAUACAAUGGCGCGCACAAAGGGAAGCGAACUCGCGAGAGCAAGCAAAUCCCAAAAAACGCGCCUCAGUUCGGAUUGCAGGCUGCAACUCGCCUGCAUGAAGCUGGAAUCGCUAGUAAUCGCGGGUCAGCAUACCGCGGUGAAUGUGUUCCUGAGCCUU
rnacentral:rRNA from 1 species